rnacentral:rRNA from 1 species
GCAACCUGGCGGCGAGCGGCGAACGGGUGAGUAACACAUCGGAACGUACCUAUUUGUGGGGGAUAACACAUCGAAAGAUGUGCUAAUACCGCAUAAGUCCUGAGGGAGAAAGCGGGGGAUCGCAAGACCUCGCGCGAAUAGAGCGGCCGAUGUCCGAUUAGCUAGUUGGUGGGGUAAAGGCCUACCAAGGCGACGAUCGGUAGCUGGUCUGAGAGGACGACCAGCCACACUGGGACUGAGACACGGCCCAGACUCCUACGGGAGGCAGCAGUGGGGAAUUUUGGACAAUGGGGGAAACCCUGAUCCAGCCAUUCCGCGUGAGUGAAGAAGGCCUUCGGGUUGUAAAGCUCUUACAGAGGGAAAGAAAUGCAGGGCGGCUAAUAUCCACCUUGCUUGACGGUACCCUCAAAGGAAGCACCGGCUAACUCCGUGCCAGCAGCCGCGGUAAUACGGGGGGUGCAAGCGUUGUUCGGAUUUAUUGGGCGUAAAGCGCGUGUAGGCGGUUUUUUAAGUCUGAUGUGANAGCCCUGGGCUCAACCUGGGAAGUGCAUUUGAUACUGAGUAACUGGAGUUUGGGAGAGGUAAGUGGAAUUUCAGGUGUAGCGGUGAAAUGCNUAGAUAUCUGAAGGAACACCAGUGGCGAAGGCGACUUACUGGCCUAAAACUGACGCUGANGCACNAAAGCAUGGG